rnacentral:rRNA from 1 species
CAGCAGUGGGGAAUAUUGCACAAUGGGGGAAACCCUGAUGCAGCGACGCCGCGUGAAGGAAGAAGUAUCUCGGUAUGUAAACUUCUAUCAGCAGGGAAGAUAGUGACGGUACCUGACUAAGAAGCCCCGGCUAACUACGUGCCAGCAGCCGCGGUAAUACGUAGGGGGCAAGCGUUAUCCGGAUUUACUGGGUGUAAAGGGAGCGUAGACGGAGUGGCAAGUCUGAUGUGAAAACCCGGGGCUCAACCCCGGGACUGCAUUGGAAACUGUCAAUCUAGAGUACCGGAGAGGUAAGCGGAAUUCCUAGUGUAGCGGUGAAAUGCGUAGAUAUUAGGAGGAACACCAGUGGCGAAGGCGGCUUACUGGACGGUAACUGACGUUGAGGCUCGAAAGCGUGGGGAGCAAACAGGAUUAGA